CGCUGCACGUGCACGAGUGGUUAAUUUACCAAAUUGCUACGCAGCAACUCGAAAGAGCUGCCGUCUCCCCCUCGCGGUUCGCGCAAUCGGUGAUCGGCGAUUUCUGGAGCUGGAAAAACCCUAGAACGAAGCACCGACAAAGAAUCCCUGUCGAAAAUGGUGGCCACUAAUCUGAAAGCUGAGGCGAUGGCUCUGAUGGACAAGAGGAGCGUUAUUGAGGCCGAGAUGAACGCCAUCAUCGAGCGGCUCUGCCAACCCGGCGGUCCUGGAAUCUCCGGCAGUCUAAUCGAUUCUGAGGGGUUUCCUCGGUCGGACAUUGACAUUCCUGUGGUCCGAGCAGAUCGGCGCCGUCUGGCUGAGCUUCGGAACGAUUACAAGGACAUAACGGAGAAAAUAAAUGAAAAUAUGCAAGUUUUACAUUCAGCAAGGGUUGUUUCUAGAUCUUCAUCAUUCAAAGAUUCAGACAACAAUGGGGGGUCAAAUAAUCAAUGCACAUUUAUUGUUGAUGCUGGUGCUUCUACAUCCUCAACCAGUGUAGUUCCUAGAGAUAGACAAAGUUCUAUGGAUGUGGACAUCAUUGCUAGCAUACCCUUUGCUAUGGUUGAUGAGAUAACUGAGGCAUCUCCAGCUGCUGAGGAUGGCUUACAACUUGGAGAUCAGAUUGUGAAAUUUGGGAAUGUAGAAUCUGGUGACAAUUUGCUGAUGAGGCUGGCUUCUGAAGCUCAGACAAAUCAGGGCCAUGCACUACCUAUUUCAGUCAUGAGGCAAGGAGCAAUGAUCAGCAUAACAGUGACCCCUAGAGCAUGGCAAGGACGGGGUCUACUGGGAUGCCAUUUCCGAAUCUUGUGAUUGGCCUCAUAAUCUAUGGAAGCAGAUGUGCUGAGGCAUUCUGGUUCCUUUUCUUAAGCAGCUGCUGCAGUAUGGUGCUCAGAUGAUGUGCGUUGACAUCUAAAAUGAGCACAAAGAAGAGAGCUUCUGUUGCUCUAAGGAUUAUUACUGCAAAUGGGCAAGGUGAAAAUCAUGGUGUUUGGGCUUGUUAGUUCAGGAGAAGCCAGGAAGUUCCUCUGUUAGAUGGGAUUAAAUAAAUUCAAACUGAUGAGCAGAAGUGGCACAUAUUUUGGUGUUCUGGGCAAUAAGGCUGAUGCAGUAUUUGAAUUUUUUAAGUUUAUUUUUAAACAGUAUAUUUAUCGUAGAGCUGAACCUGGGUGGAGCAAACUGGUAUGCCUACAACAGUUAGUAGGGACUGUUCGUCUCUGGUAGCAGCAGUAUAGGGACACCAGUCAUAAUGCUGCUGCAAGUGAAGCUUCCUAGUACCUAUUCCAUUUAUUUCCCCUACUAAUGGAUCAAAGACCUAUUUUGAUUCAUGGAUGGAAUCAUGGAAUGAUUGAUUAUUUGAUUUGGUUAAUGUCGUACCAUGACUCACAUUACAUGUCAAAUUAAAAAAAAUGUAUAUGCUGUAAUAAUUUACUAUUAAUCAGUGUUCCGAGGGGUAGAUCGGGCGACCCAUUUCUCAUUUCAAA